UACGUAGGGUGCGAGCGUUAAUCGGAAUUACUGGGCGUAAAGCGUGCGCAGGCGGUUCGCAAAGUCUGAUGUGAAAGCCCCGGGCUCAACCUGGGAACUGCAUUGGAAACUAACGGGCUCGAGUGUGGCAGAGGGGGGGUGGGAAUUCCACGUGUAGCAGUAAAAUGCGUAGAGAUGUGGAGGAACACCGAUGGCGAAGGCAGCCCCCCUGGGCUAACACUGACGCUCAGGCACGAAAGCGUGGGGAGCAAACAGG
rnacentral:rRNA from 1 species